rnacentral:rRNA from 1 species
GGGUGAGUAACACGUGAGCAACCUGCCCUGGACUCUGGGAUAAGCGCUGGAAACGGCGUCUAAUACUGGAUAUGAGCCUCUAUCGCAUGGUGGGGGUUGGAAAGAUUUUUUGGUCUGGGAUGGGCUCGCGGCCUAUCAGCUUGUUGGUGAGGUAAUGGCUCACCAAGGCGUCGACGGGUAGCCGGCCUGAGAGGGUGACCGGCCACACUGGGACUGAGACACGGCCCAGACUCCUACGGGAGGCAGCAGUGGGGAAUAUUGCACAAUGGGCGAAAGCCUGAUGCAGCAACGCCGCGUGAGGGAUGACGGCCUUCGGGUUGUAAACCUCUUUUAGCAGGGAAGAAGCGAAAGUGACGGUACCUGCAGAAAAAGCGCCGGCUAACUACGUGCCAGCAGCCGCGGUAAUACGUAGGGCGCAAGCGUUAUCCGGAAUUAUUGGGCGUAAAGAGCUCGUAGGCGGUUUGUCGCGUCUGCUGUGAAAUCCCGAGGCUCAACCUCGGGCCUGCAGUGGGUACGGGCAGACUAGAGUGCGGUAGGGGAGAUUGGAAUUCCUGGUGUAGCGGUGGAAUGCGCAGAUAUCAGGAGGAACACCGAUGGCGAAGGCAGAUCUCUGGGCCGUAACUGACGCUGAGGAGCGAAAGGGUGGGGAGCAAACAGGCUUAGAUACCCUGGUAGUCCACCCCGUAAACGUUGGGGACUAGUUGU